rnacentral:rRNA from 1 species
GAUGAACGCUGGCGGCGUGCCUAAUACAUGCAAGUCGAACGCAUUGAGAGAAGUGCUUGCACUUUUCAAUUUGAGUGGCGAACGGGUGAGUAACACGUGGGCAACCUACCUGAUAGCGGGGGAUAACGAGUGGAAACAUUCGCUAAUACCGCAUAACAAUAGAGAAGGCAUCUUCUUUAUUGAAAAGGCGCUUUCAAGCGUCACUAUCAUAUGGGCCCGCGGUGCAUUAGUUAGUUGGUGGGGUGAAGGCCUAACAAGACGAUGAUGCAUAGCAGUGUUGAAAGAAUGAUCGGCCACAUUGGGACUGAGACACGGCCCAAACUCCUACGGGAGGCUGCAGUAGGGAAUCUUCCACAAUGGACGAAAGUCUGAUGGAGCAACGCCGCGUGUGUGAUGAAGGCUUUCGGGUCGUAAAGCACUGUUGUAUGGGAAGAAAUGCUAGGCUAGGAAAUGAGCUUAGUUUGACGGUACCAUACCAGAAAGGGACGGCUAAAUACGUGCCAGCCGCCGCAGUAA